rnacentral:sRNA from 1 species
GCUGGGCACGGUGGCACAUGCCUGUAAUCCCAGCAACUCGGGAGGCUGAGGCAGGAGGAUUACAAGUUUGUGCUUCAU